AAUUGGGAAAUGACAAAUCAGAUUUUUCCUCCUGAUUUUCAAUUUUUUUUUCUCCUGACAAAAUUCAAAUCCAACUAAAAAUGCUAAAAAUCAGGAGGAAAAAUCUGAUUUGUCAUUCUCAUAUU
rfam:Gossypium raimondii Chr10_contig_595, whole genome shotgun sequence.